UUGACCUCGGAUCAGGUAGGGAUACCCGCUGAACUUAAGCAUAUCAAUAAGCGGAGGACAAGAAACCAACAGGAUUGCCUCAGUAACGGCGAGUGAAGCGGCAAGAGCUCAAAUUUGAAAUCUGGCGCC
rnacentral:rRNA from 1 species